AGAUUGUAAAUUUUUGUGUCUUCAGGAUUGAUUUCUGGGUACUUGUCAUUUUCCUUCUGGUUUGUUGUGUUAAUAUACUUCUUCAUGCUAUUUGAUGGCAUGGACUUUUGCCAUCACAUGGUGGUCAUAUCUUGUGUAGAUUCCACCUUCUACCGCUAGGUUGGGCAGGAGCUGUGUUUUCUGAGCCUGCUGUGACUCUUGGCAGAUGUGCUUGUCUGUUGGAAACAGUGCCAACAGGACCUGUCUUCACUUGCCCAUAUGCUCUCUGGCAGGGAUCCCCUACUCUAGCUGGCCAGCCAAGGUGGUGCACCAGGCAGAAGCAGGGAGAGGCACUUUAUUUUGCUGGCACAAUCCUGUGCGUUCCCGGUCUGCACUCACUGUCUGCCUGCUUGGGCUGCUUGGCUUGGUUUAGAUGCCCCUGCAGUUGCUUAGCUUCUUCAGUGUGGAGCAUUCCCACAGGCUGUGAGGCAACUCCAAGAGUGCAAGCAUUCCCAUGGAGGGCUGCCUUUUCUCUCAUCUCCUCUCAGAGUCAUGCACCAGCUGCCAUGUGAGGUCCCACACCCUAGAUCAUUGCCACUUGUGAGGGUGGGGGAGAUCUUUUUACCUCCUUCCUCUGCCUCUUGGGGGAGUCUUGCACCCCCAACUUCAGACAUAUGGCUGUGUGGAUCUCUCACAUGUCUGUUGUGUGAAUGUCCCCUGUUGAUUUGUGAAUGUCCUUUUUGUUGUAUCUUAUGGGACAGAGACUAAAGGAAGAGCUCACUCUGCCAUGAUGCUGACAGCACUCUCCAUGAAUUUUUACCUGUGAGAAAACGUGUGUUUUAUUUUUGAAGUUUAUAUUUUAUGUUGAAAAACAUUUACAAUAGAAGGGAAUUAUAAAAGAAAACAAUCUAUUUUUUUACCAUUACUUCAGUGUUUUUGCCCAGUUGAUAUCUUUGACAGCAAGAUAUCUAGAUGUGAUACAUUAGACACAACGGACUCAAAAGGGUUGGAUUCUGCCUUGGAACAUAGUGGCUGCAUACCCUGCAAAGAGUCAUUUUGACUUUUCUUAGUUCAUGCUUUCUUCAUCCUUCACUUUGUUUUCUUUCUCCAGAUUGCUCAUAUUCUUUCAUGGUACUAUGGCCAUGGUUCCCUCUGUCCACAGAACUAUUCAUAAAAGAUUAAGAAAACAAAGUGCAGGGGAUGCAAAAAGACAGAAAUAUCAGCCAAAGCUGUCAUCCGUCUGGGAAGGGCUCCAUCUGGAGGGUCAUCCUCCAUUCUGCUAGAGGGUCCAAGCAGGCAGAGUUAUUUAUAAUUCUCGGGCAUCCACAAAGCUUAUGUUAAAUGCCUAUGUCUAUCUCUGACAUUUCUGGAAUUUGUAAGACUGUCGAUGUAAAUAAUGAAAGAGAAAUAUAUGAAAUGAGAAGUACUUAUCACUAUUAGCCAUAGGAAAGAAAGGUUUCAGGAGAGCAGGGAAAUAGUAGAUGUUCUGUGUUCCCUUUGAAUAUUAACAUUUUUAAAAAAUCUCAUAAUUAAAGAGGGAGAAGUUUCUAAAAUUUUAGGAAUUGAAUGUAGUACUUUUUACAUUUUGAUGCCCUCAUAAUUUGAAAAUUCCUGUAGAGAAAACCAUUAAUGUGUCUUUUUAAAAGUCUUGUCAUAUUCUCCUUAAAUGUGUCUCUAAAUGUUUGGUUCUGAUAAGCUUCUAUUUUGUAUUUCAACCUCUUCAUAGAAAGUAGCCUCUGUAAGAUCACAACUAUCUGAUAUUGUGUAAAAUGAUUGUUAUGGAAACUACUGAAUUUAGGCCGUAAGUUAUUUUAUUUAUUAAUUAGGUAGGAGUAACAGAGGCUUAGAUUAGUUCAUUAAAAUGACUGUCAGACAAAUUCUCUUUUACUGGAAAAAAAGUCAAGUUAUGGUGUCAUGCUAGAAAAUGUACGGAUAAUGCUUGGAGUGUGUUAACUUUCAGGUAUUAGAAAGGAGUGCAAGAACCUACAGUUUGGUUAACAGUCUGGGAGGAUAACUCAACAUAAUGUCUCAGUUUAGUGUACUAAGCAGUCAGUUUUCUUUUGAUAUAAGGUAGAGCAAUGCAAGUAGUUGUGGUUAGGCCAGCUUAGUUGUAAUGAGCGUGGCCUCUGUAAUUCAAGGGCCUGGGUCUGAAACCUGGUGUUGCUAGUUACUGAUUGGGUGACUUGAGGUAAUUUAUACAAACUCUUUGUUCCUCUUUAUUUAUUAUGUCCAUAUUUUUCCUUAAAUCUUUGAAUACAUUUUCUAAUAUCUUAAAAUAUUUGUUAAUUCCAAUAUUUAUGUCAUCUUUGGUUGUUUUCCUACAUACAGUUUUCUCUUGAUUAUGUGUCACAUUUUCCUGUUUCUUUACAUGCCUACUAAUUUUGGUUUUAUACUAGACACUAUAAAUGCUACAUUGUUGAGAGCCUAUAUUUUGUGAUCUUUAUUAGAGUGUUGAGUUUUUUCUGGUAGCAGUUUCCUGGCUGAGAAGUUUUAUCCUGUUGAAGCUUGUAUUUGGGUAGGUCUAGUGUAGUUCUUAGUCUAGAGUCAAAAUAUUACUACUUUUACAUUUUUCUUUUGCAGGAGAAGAUUCACCCUAAGCUAACAUCUGUUGCCAAUCUUCUUCCUUUUUCCUCCCCAAAGCCCCAGCCCAUAGUUAUGUCUGGUUUUAAAUUCUUCUGGUUCUUCUAUGUGAAGCACCACCACAGCAUGCCUACUGAUAGAUGAGUGGUGUGGUUCCACACCCAGGAACUAACCUGGGCCACCAAGGCAGAGCAUGCAGAAAUUUAACCAUUAGGCCAUCAGGGCGGGCUCACUACUUUUAAAGUGUGGUCUUUCUGGGGUCUCAGCUGAAUGCAGGUGGAGUUCAGUAAAGCCACUUAUUCUAGAUAAUUAGAACUUCAGUGUCUCUCAGCAUUAAGUGAUCUCUGGGUCCUUCAUUCACCUCCCAAUCCCCAGUAGCUAUUCUCCACCAUGCCUCCUGGAGUCUUGCCCUGAAUAUAUGCAGGUUAGUAAUGGCCCAAAGACUCAAACAGACAUCUCUGCAGAUGUCUGGAGAUCCUUCUCUACAUAGCUCAUCUUUCUCCAGUAUAUUAUCCCAAAAGUAUCUGUUGCCUCAGCAGCCCUUAACUCUGAUACUUGUUUCCUCUAUCCAGCAAGAACAGUGCUUUUUUGUUCAAGCUACUUUUCUGUGCUGCAGUUUGGAGCUCAUCUCAUGUGUCUUUUCUCUCAAGGGUCACAGACCUGGGAUGUCUGUUGUGUAAUUAUUUUAAGUGAUUGAUUCACAUAUUUAUAAUUGUUUAAGGUGGAAUAGUAAGCCCAAUGCCAAUGCCAGUUGUUCUAUUGUGACUGGAAUUGGAAUUGUUCACUUUUAAAUUUUGAAGUUAUCUAUUUGAUAACAAUAUGCUUUAGAUAUUAAUUUCAUUUGAUAGAGUAAUUACUCAAGUUCCUGUGUGUCUUAAGAGGUUUUUAUCUGGGAUAUGUGUUUCAGGAUACUUUAUCAACUCUGUAUGUUAAGGAGGCUAUAGUAUUCUCAAAUUGAGUUAUUUCAAGCCAUAUUCAGCUUAAUUUAUUUUGCUUUGGAUAACUAUAUUUCAAAACCUUCUUACUCAUUUGUUUUCCCCUUGUGGGUUAAUUUUGGAGUUUAGAAUUGGUUUCUUGGUAAUAUCCUAAAAAUGCUUCAUUUUAGUGCCCAUAAGUUUUAUCCUUUGGGACCUUUCACUGUCUUAUAAUUUUCUAUAACUCUACCCUAGUUAGUUUAUUGCUAAUGGCUAAAGUGAACCUACUUGUUGAAUGACUAAAAUGGAGCUAGCUACCUAUGAACAUGCUUCUACCAAUUGUAAGGUGUCUAGUAAUUGUGAUACUGUAUCAGCAUUCCCUAGUAUAUUAAUUAGCCAGGUAUUUUUGGUGGACAUGGUGCUCUUAGUAAUUUUGGUGGAUUCUUGUGUCUCUUGAUAAACUCAUUCAAUCACGGCUAACCACUUAAAUAUGUCUUUUGCUUCCAGGAUUGUUUUUAUUUCUUUGCCAUUAAGGUAGAUGUUUUGGCUAUAGACAGACUGUUGCCAGGGUGCAAACACAUAGCAAAAUCAUGAGACUUUCUCUAAUUUAACCAGAUCUCUGAGAUGGCUUAUGUCUGACCCAAUGCUUGUUUGUAUCAUGAGGAAUGACAGUGUUCUAAUUUCAUUUUUGUUAGUAUAACAAUUUCUGCCCCUAUGGCGUAAAAUCUGAUUUACCAGGACAAUCCAACUUUUGCCUUCUCUUGGGAAAAUAUCUUCCUCUUCCUGAGAUGCCACAUGGAGGUGAACUGGAAGAAAAAGAGCAAAAACUGAAACCUGAAGAAUGGAGGCUGUCUUCAAACAAGCCCAACGGAAUUUGAGGAUGCCAGCACCUUUCCUACAUAUUUAAACUUAUCUGCAUUCCCGUUUCUGGAAUACCCUAUACCUGCAUUCUAAGUAGACUCAUGGAAGCUUCAGAGGUCAUUUAACACAUAAUGUCUCAUCUGUACAUCUUGAAGUGGUGAGUGGCUUGCCUAAGAGAACACAGAUGCUCAGUGGCAGAGCCAGAACAUGAACUCAUGCAUAAUGACCUCUGUCAUCUGGGGCCAUCCUCUGAUUUGGUACUUGUGGUUGGUACAGACUCUCUGCGCCACACCUCAUUCCACUGUGAAAGCAUUCUCAUACUGCUUCUAAUUUCAUAACUGUUAAAAAUUAUUUGGCUACGCAUAUUUCAUGCACUAUCGAGUAAAGUGAAGAGGAGAAAAAUAAAGCUACAUAAAAAAUCCAAUAAGUAAUACAUUAAAUUUGAAAGUAAACUUUGUAUGAAUAAGUUCUAAAAUAAAAAUCUUAAAAUUUUACUAUUCUUAA